rnacentral:tRNA from 1 species
CUACCUGUGUCUAGUGGUUAGGAUUUAUGGCUCUCACCCAUAAGGCCGGGGUUCGAUUCCCCGCAACGGAAGA